CUUGGUGCUUUACACUUCACACUACGGCUUACCCCGGCGGUGAACGGCAGAGCGUCCAGAAAGUCCCGGAAGAUGAAGGUUUCCUGUAAAUGGUGAAGAUAAAGAUUUCUUCACCUUCCCAUCAGUGCUGUGGACAUAGGUACAGUUAGGGGAUCAGGGUAGAGUAAUAUAAUAGUCCAGGAUACACAAGUGAACAUUUGUGACACCCAAUUGUCUACCGGUGGACAUCUGGGAUGGCAUCACAUCUUGGCAGUUGAUGUGGGAAUGCCUCUAUCUUUUUGAAGAGGUAGAAUGUGGCAUUGAUGAACACUACGUGGUAUCCCAGUGAGAGUCUGAGUUGUAGCAAAUUAAAAGAAGACAUCGUAAAAAUAAAGUUUUCCAUGUUAGGAAGUAGUUAUCUUUUAUUUUAUUUUAAAGCCAUCAUUUUUGUAUGCAUUCCGUUUAGUUCACCAUUCAGAGUAAUCGCGGACAUUAUUUUACAGAUUUG